AAAAGCCCUGGGACGAACGCGGCGUUAAUAAGUAGGAGGCGAGGGUGAGUCGGAAUGUGUGGGCGUAAAGCGAGUGUAUGUGGCUCAGUAAGUCACAUGUGUAAGCCCCGGGCUUAACCUGGGAACUGCAUGUGAUACUGGUGGGGCUAGAAUAUGUGAGAGGGAAGUAGAAUUCCAGGGUUAGCGAUUAAAUGCGUAGAUAUCUGGAGGAAUACCGAUGGCGAAGGCAGCUUCCUGGCAUAAUAUUGACACGGAGAUUCGAAAGCGUGGGUAGCAAACAGGAUUAGAUACCCUGGUAGUC
rnacentral:rRNA from 1 species